GGUCCCAUCGUCUAAUGGUUAGGACAUCAGGUUUUCAUCCUGAAAAUACGGGUUCGAUUCCCGUUGGGACUA
rnacentral:tRNA from 1 species